rnacentral:sRNA from 1 species
UGUAACCGCCGCCUGCGCAGCUGCUACUGGACUCGCCUGUCGGCCGCUGCUUCUCAUUGUCUCUCCAACCCUGGGAGGAUCCGAGAUGCCCAGAGGGACCCGGGAGCCAGAGGCCAAGCAUCCUAACUGUGAGACACGCGCCCGCGAGGAGGUCCCUCCCCUGUGCUGAGAGCCGGCUUGGUGCAGAUCCUAGCUGUGUAUCAGCCUCAGUUUCUUCAUUUGGAAAGUCAGUCGAGGCUCGAUGGUAGAAUUUACCUGACAGGUGACCCUUGUGAAAGGUCACUCACUGCCCCGAAGUUGAGAACCAUUGCUGUAGGCUCUGUUUGGGAAGCUGAUGGAAGGAGGUGAGGCCUUGUUGGAAGAAGUUGAUCCCUGCGGUUACUUUUAGCCACAGUAUUUUAUCACAGCAACAGAGAAGGAACUAAUACAGCGGGAUCCUCACACAGAAGUCUUGUUUCUCUCGGGGAUAGAUUGAUAAAGGCCGACCUGUGUUCUCUACCUGGCAUCAAAUCCUGAAGAGCCUACCAGAGCUGAGGACUUCAUUCUCCACAAAUGAAGGCAGUGACACACUUUGUUUCUAGGUCCUCUGAUCUCCCUGCUGCCAUUGCAUGAGCUUCUCAGCCUGUCUACUCUGUGAGCGACUCCUCCUUGCCCCUAAGUUCUUGCUGUUAGGUUUGGUCUCUGUCGCUCACAACCAACGCAGCAAAGGUCCCAACACCAAAUGAACCACUCCAUAUUGUGAGAAGAAAAUAAAUGCAAAUCAACAAAUAUAUUGUGUGCUGUUCAGUGAAGGGAGCACUAACCUCCUCCUGAAAAGAGAAAGGCCGUCUGAAGCAUCCAAUCAAAUAAUUGAUUCUUUCAGCAUCAAGAGGUUGAGGCAGGAAGAUCUGGAGUUCAAGGUCACUGUCAUCUGCAGAGAGAGUUCUAGGCCAAUCUGUACUACAGAAGCUUCUAUCUCAAAGCAAAACCAACCUCAAACAAACACACAAACAAACGCUGACCACCUAGAAGACACGACAUGUCUGGAUGAUCCUGCUCACACAGAACUGCUUUUUCUCAAGGGCAGACGUCCCCAUGGGUCAGUCACCUGAGGCUGCAGAUGAAUGGAUGAGUGUUAUAAAAAGGCCCUGCUCUGAGAAAGUAGGGGACAGUUAUAAGAGAAAGUUCAAAGAGAUGUAUGCUGCAGCAAGCAUUGCCCCAGCUCCUGUGAUGCCCCUCCCAGGACUACCUUCAAGAGAGGGAAACGCACUUGCUGUUGAUGUCAUCUCAUGGACAUUUAUGCUGUUGCUGGUGCUUUUACGCUACAUCCAGCCUUCAGAAUCCAGGCUGAAUGUGUCAUGUCAUCAGGUGUAGGAGACAUCACUGAAUCAGAGAGAGUGAAGCCUGCAGAGAGCGCCCCUGGACUAACAGGAGAUGAAUAUAUUCCAAGGAAGAAUUUUGCUUUCAGUGUAUUUAAUGUCGCUUGCCUGGAGUUCUGUCUCUGGAGGGGCUAACAUCUGUGUAAAGACAACCAUGAGGGGAACUCUUAGCCUGGGCCCUGCUGAGAACAAAGCCAGGACACUGAGAACGAAAGGGGCCCUAGUCCUUUGAAGCAUUCUUGAACUCUCCUGGACAUCUUUGACACUUUACUACCUAUGCCUAUGUCCCUUAGACAGUCACAUGUGGCAUCCUCCUGAAAGUUGAUGAAUUUGAUAUGAAUGGCCUUAUAUUGUUCCCGUCCUAGCACCACUUACCUGUUUUGAAUACUCUGUUUUUGAGGUUUAUCCAAACAGGACUCUACCUGACUCUUUCUAAUGGCUAUAUAGAACUUCAUUGUGUGUGGUAUUGUGUUUCUUAACUUGAAUGGCGAGUAUUCUGGUGACUGUCAUAUUCUUUUCUAAAUGCUCCAGGAAGUAUAAAUAUCUUACAGUUUUCAAAACCAAGGCAGUCACUGUGUUUCUCUGGAUGACAUGAUGCUUCUUGCAACCACACUCGCUGUCCUGGGAGACAGUGGAGUGAAGCAUUCUACAUUUGCACCUUCCUGGUCUCCUGGCUCUGAAGCUUAGCAGGCAAUAGUUUUAUAAUAAUAGCUAGUUGUAUUUAUUGAACAUUAUACUAUGCCAGGCACUGUGCCCAAUGCCUGAGAGGGCUCAUUUAAUCCCAAUAACAGCCCUCCAGUAGGAGAGUGCCAUUAUUAUCCUGCACUCAUACUUAGCAAACAGCCUCAAAAUUGGAAGAGGCAUCCCAAGACCAGAUGAUAAAGAAGCAGGAUUGGCAAGCAUGUCUCCAGGAUGUGUGUCCUUGACACCUGCCGUUGCCUCAUCCUAGGGAGCAGGAAUGAUGCCUCCAGCUUGCUGUGGGUACCCAGUUUGCCUCUCUCAGCCAACAACAGUAGGAUCACUAGCUAGGGUCAUAGUCUCCAGUAUAGUUCGAGUGAAGAAAACAGUUUAAGAUGAUUUUGUCUGAAAUAAUUCAGAUGAUCAGGCAUAUCCUGUAUCCACCCUCACCUCACUGGAGGAAGUAUUCACAAAUUGUGUGUCCCUUUAGCUAAGGCUGACCAGGGUUCACGACCUAUGUCAGAGUUUGGCCCAAGUGGUUUGGAACAGGACGUGGAGGUCUUCAAGACUUUCUCUCUCCAGAUGCGAUUACACUGAAAAUCCUUGCCACCCUCUCCUUUUCCCUCGCACCUCCUUUCUUCCUCUUUGUCUUGUUAAAAAGAUUCAUUUUAAUUUUAUGUGCAUGGCUGCCAGCACAUGUGUGCACCAUGACUGAGCAGUGCCCGCAGAAGCCGGGAGCCAACAUAAGAUCCCUGAAGCAAGUUGUGGGGGGCUUGUUACCAGGGUUAAGAAUUGAACCCCAGGCCUCUGGAUGAGCAGCCAGUGCUCUUAAUUGCUGAGCCACCUCUCCAGACUUCUUUCUGUCUUUAAAUACUGAGAAGCAUUUGUGUGAGUCAAUGUAAGGAUUAAAAUACAACAAUGUCCUAAUUACAUUUUAAUGUUUUAUUUUACAAUAUUUUGGGAGUCGCCUGAACUUGUAAAAAGCCUUGUGUGAACUCGAGUGUG